CCUAAGGAAGGCAGCAGUAGGGAAUAUUGCACAAUGGGGGAAACCCAGAUGCAGGCAUGCCGCGUGUGUGAAGACAGCCCUAGGGUUGUAAAGCACUUUCGGUGGUGAAGAAAGCCGGCGCGCUAAUACCGCGAUCCGGGUAGACGUUAACCAUUAAAGAAGCACCGGCUAACUCCGUGCCAGCAGCCGCGGUAAUACGGAGGGUGCAAACGUUAAUCGGAAUUACUGGGCGUAAAGCGCACGUAGGCGGAUAGUCAAGUGGGACGUGAAAGCCCCCGGCUCAACCGGGGAAUUGCGUUUCAAACUGGCUGUCUAGAGUGUAGUAGAGGAAAGUGGAAUUUGCUGUGUAGCGGUGAAAUGCGUAGAUAUGGCAAGGAACAUCAGUGGCGAAGGCGGCUUUCUGGACUAACACUGACGCUGAGGUGCGAAAGCGUGGGUAGCGAACAGGAUUAGAUACCCUGG
rnacentral:rRNA from 1 species